rnacentral:rRNA from 1 species
GAUGAACGCUGGCGGCGUGCCUAAUACAUGCAAGUCGAGCGAACAGACGAGGAGCUUGCUCCUCUGACGUUUGCGGCGGACGGGUGAGUAACACGUGGAUAACCUACCUAUAAGACUGGGAUAACUUCGGGAAAACGGAGCUAAUACCGGAUAAUAUAUUGAACCGCAUGGUUCAAUAGUGAAAGACGGGUUUGCUGUCACUUAUCGAUGGAUCCGCGCCGCAUUAGCUAGUUGGUAAGGUAACGGCUUACCAAGGCGACGAUGCGUAGCCGACCUGAGAGGGUGAUCGGCCACACUGGAACUGAGACACGGUCCAGACUCCUACGGGAGGCAGCAGUAGGGAAUCUUCCGCAAUGGGCGAAAGCCUGACGGAGCAACGCCGCGUGAGUGAUGAAGGUCUUCGGAUCGUAAAACUCUGUUAUUAGGGAAGAACAAAUGUGUAAGUAACUAUGCACGUCUUGACGGUACCUAAUCAGAAAGCCACGGCUAACUACGUG